AAUACGUUCCCGGGCCUUGUACACACCGCCCGUCACAUCACGAAAGUGGAUUGUACUAGAAGUCUCCCUUAAAGGGCCCAAGGUAUGAUUCAUGAUUGGGGUGAAGUCGUAAACAAGGUACC
rnacentral:rRNA from 1 species